rnacentral:rRNA from 1 species
UACGGGGGGGGGUAAGCGUUGUUCGGAAUACUGGGCGUAAGGCGCACGUAGGCGGCUUAGCGAGUCGGAUGUGAAAUCCCUCGGCUCAACCAAGGAAGUGCAUCCGAAACUGCCUGAGCUUGAGUACGAAAGAGGAUCGCGGAAUUCCCGGUGUAGAGGUGAAAUUCGUAGAUAUCGGGAGGAACACCAGUGGCGAAGGCGGCGAUCUGGGUCGAUACUGACGCUGGAGGUGCGAAAGCGUGGGGAGCAAACAGG